rnacentral:rRNA from 1 species
UACAGAGGGGGCAAGCGUUGUUCGGAAUUACUGGGCGGAAAGGGCGCGUAGGCGGCCUGCUAAGUCGAACGUGAAAUCCCUGGGCUCAACCCAGGAACUGCGUCCGAUACUGGUUGGCUUGAAUCCGGGAGAGGGACGUGGAAUUCCAGGUGUAGCGGUGAAAUGCGUAGAUAUCUGGAGGAACACCGGUGGCGAAGGCGACGUCCUGGACCGGCAUUGACGCUGAGGCGCGAAAGCCAGGGGAGCAAACGGG